GAUGAAUGCUGGCGGCGUGCCUAAUACAUGCAGGUCGAGCGAACAGACGAGGAGCUUGCUCCUCUGACGUUAGCGGCGGACGGGUGAGUAACACGUGGAUAACCUACCUAUAAGACUGGGAUAACUUCGGGAAACCGGAGCUAAUACCGGAUAAUAUAUUGAACCGCAUGGUUCAAUAGUGAAAGACGGUUUUGCUGUCACUUAUAGAUGGAUCCGCGCCGCAUUAGCUAGUUGGUAAGGUAACGGCUUACCAAGGCAACGAUGCGUAGCCGACCUGAGAGGGUGAUCGGCCACACUGGAACUGAGACACGGUCCAGACUCCUACGGGAGGCAGCAGUAGGGAAUCUUCCGCAAUGGGCGAAAGCCUGACGGAGCAACGCCGCGUGAGUGAUGAAGGUCUUCGGAUCGUAAAACUCUGUUAUUAGGGAAGAACAAAUGUGUAAGUAACUAUGCACGUCUUGACGGUACCUAAUCAGAAAGCCACGGCUAACUACGUG
rnacentral:rRNA from 1 species